GUUGCACCACGAGACAAGGAUGGCUGCAUCACAGCUCCCAAACAAAAGAUUGAGUUCACCUGCUCAUCGUUAUUUAAACCCCAAACACCAUGUCGCUCAUUCUGCCUUCAUCAUCACAUGGGGCAGCAAUGCUGAUUCACAACCCAUGUGUGUUUGCUCGCCCCUUUAUGUUUAACUGCCAUUUCUUGGGUUUGGAAAAUAAACCUCUGUGUGCAGAAGAGUGUCAUGGCUGAUGAGGCCAGAAGACCUCUCCUCCUGAACCUCCUCCUCCACUUCACACAUGAAUUAUGACUACUUCUGUCAAUUUUUUUUC